rnacentral:rRNA from 1 species
CCUACGGGUGACAGCAGUAGGGAAUAUUGCUCAAUGGGGGAAACUCUGAAGCAGCCACGCCGCGUGGAGGAUGAAGGUUUUCGGAUUGUAAACUCCUUUUGUUAGAGAAGAUAAUGACGGUAUCUAACGAAUAAGCACCGGCUAACUCCGUGCCAGCAGCCGCGGUAAUACGGAGGGUGCAAGCGUUACUCGGAAUCACUGGGCGUAAAGAGCGCGUAGGCGGGAUAGCAAGUCAGAUGUGAAAUCCUAUGGCUUAACCAUAGAACUGCAUUUGAAACUGUUCUUCUAGAGGAUGGGAGCGGUAGGUGGAAUUCUUGGUGUAGGGGUAAAAUCCGUAGAGAUCAAGAGGAAUACUCAUUGCGAAGGCGACCUGCUAGAACAUAACUGACGCUGAUGCGCGAAAGCGUGGGGAGCAAACAGGAUUAGAUACCCUUGUAGUC